rnacentral:rRNA from 1 species
UACGAAGGGGGCUAGCGUUGCUCGGAAUCACUGGGCGUAAAGCGCACGUAGGCGGAUUGUUAAGUCAGGGGUGAAAUCCUGGAGCUCAACUCCAGAACUGCCUUUGAUACUGGCGAUCUUGAGUCCGGGAGAGGUGAGUGGAACUGCGAGUGUAGAGGUGAAAUUCGUAGAUAUUCGCAAGAACACCAGUGGCGAAGGCGGCUCACUGGCCCGGUACUGACGCUGAGGUGCGAAAGCGUGGGGAGCAAACAGGAUUAAGA